UUGGCUCAAGAAAGCCUGCGCAAAGCUAUUUGGGGAUUUCAAAAACUCACUGACUAGUGACUGGUAUGUAUGGUAGCAUACAAACUAACAGAUUGGCACAUUUUAUCAUAAACUCAUGAAGAAUGUUAUUUCACAACCGUAAAACAAACUUGAUAUUAGUUCCAAAGCAGUCUCGCGUUGCCAUACCCAGCCUGGACCUCGAAGAGGAUAAUUCCAAAGGAACCUGGGAAAGUCUUAACAGAAGUCUUUACAGAAGUUAUAACAGUUCACUCACCACCUCCAUUCUUGUAGCAGAGGGUUUCAGCGGGGCCACUGAUGACAGCUUGUGGUCUGGCAGGACCUGGAUGUUCAUAUUUUCUCCGGUGUCGGUGUGCAGCUCGCUGACGGCCUUGUGCUCUCACCUCACGGAGGAAGUAUCCGUGGCGGAGGUGAUGCUCGCGCUGCGAUGGACCGUGAUGACGAUGGGAGUCCCGCUAGCGUGGAAAGGCAAACUCUGCAUAAGUGACUAUUUUCUCAAAGAACUACAGUGGACUCCACCGCAUUCAUCGGCUAGAGAGGUUAUAGAAAAGACCAGAAGCUCUGAACUCCCCGUUCAGAACCCUGUCCUGCCUACCUACAGGUUAUAGAAAAGACCAGAAGCUCUGAACUCUCCAUUCAGAACCCUGUCCUGCCUACCUACAGGUUAUAGAAAAGACCAGAAGCUCUGAACUCUCCGUUCAGAACCCUGUCCUGCCUACCUACAGGUUAUAGAAAAGACCAGAAGCUCUGAACUCUCCAUUCAGAACCCUGUCCUGCCUACCUA